rnacentral:other from 2 species
UAGUCCCUGGAUCGUUUAGGACGUGUAUUUGGGAAGAACCAACACUAUGAAUAUGGGAGCUUGACUCUGAGCGUCUAGUGCAGGCCUUCUGUUGCGAAGGAGCGCGAACCGUUUAGGCAGGCACCCACCGUGUAGAUCACGGUUCUUUUCCAAAUCCGUUCUUUCGAUUCAGGGCUUUU